AUUGAACGCUGGCGGCAGGCCUAACACAUGCAAGUCGAGCGAGCGGCGGACGGGUGAGUAAUGUCUGGGAAACUGCCUGAUGGAGGGGGAUAACUACUGGAAACGGUAGCUAAUACCGCAUACCAUCAGAUGUGCCCAGCUGGGAUUAGCUAGUAGGUGGGGUAACGGCUCACCUAGGCGACGAUCACUAGCUGGUCUGAGAGGAGGACCAGCCCCAGCUGAACUGAGGCACGGUCCAAAUGCCUACGGGAGACAGCAGUGGGGAAUAUUGCACAAUGGGGGCAAGCCUGAUGCAGCCAUGCCGCGUGUGUGAAGAAGGCCUUCGGGUUGUAAAGCACUUGCAGCGGGGAGGCGUUACCCGCAGAAGAAGCACCGGCUAACUCCGUGCCAGCAGCCGCGGUAAUUC
rnacentral:rRNA from 1 species